AGCGGCGUACGGGUGCGGAACACGUGUGCAACCUGCCUUUAUCAGGGGGAUAGCCUUUCGAAAGGUAGAUUAAUACCCCAUAAUAUAUAGAGUGGCAUCACUUUAUAUUGAAAACUGAGGUGGAUAAAGAUGGGCACGCGCAAGAUUAGAUAGUUGGUGAGGUAACGGCUCACCAAGUCGAUGAUCUUUAGGGGGCCUGAGAGGGUGAUCCCCCACACUGGUACUGAGACACGGACCAGACUCCUACGGGAGGCAGCAGUGAGGAAUAUUGGACAAUGGGUUAGCGCCUGAUCCAGCCAUCCCGCGUGAAGGACGACGGCCCUAUGGGUUGUAAACUUCUUUUGUACAGGGAUAAACCUAUUUACGCUUAAAUAACUGGAGGUACUGUACGAAUAAACGCCGGCUAACUCCGUGCC
rnacentral:rRNA from 1 species